rnacentral:lncRNA from 1 species
AGAGAUAGAUAAAUAGACCGGCACGAAGGCACGACACAGGCAUGGAUAUAGAUAAAGAUAGAUCGUGUAUUAAACAAGAUAGGAGACGUAUGAACAUGUACAACUGAUAGAUAACGAAAUGAUGUAUGAACAGAUAUGAAUUAGCAUGGAGUUCCGUCCACGUCAACUAGGGUUUAGGGGGUUUCAACCCUGCCGAUCGCGAGGAAGGUAGCGGAGGCCUGCUGCUGUACAGAUGGUGACCGAGGCGAUGCGGAAGAUCACAGCGGCCGACGUUAUCAUGGUCGGCCAGGGUAGAGCUGGUCAUGGCAAUGGUGCCCCCAAGUCAUGAUCGGCGAAAAGGGGCUCCGACGAGUGGCACAAACUGGCUGCAGCAUCCCUGCACAGUGAGGUUCACGGCACGAAGGCCAGUCUCUGCGAGGCGAACGCAAGAAGGGGAAAACUUUGGUCUUGGCGAGGCUCACCGGUGCUGACGGCGCCACGGGCUUGGCGAGAUCGACGCGGCAAGGUCGUGGUUGUCACUACCGGUGCGGCGUCCGCGCGCGACGUCGGGGUUCGGGGCAGAGGUGCUUGACGCGGUGGCGAAUGCGCGCUCCCGGCCACGGCGGAGUCCGUGCGUGUCGAGACGGGCGCUCGGGCUUGGCACAGUCGACCUCGCGAUGAGGUGAUCGUGGACAGCACGACAUCAUGGACGACGUCGGGGUGGUCCUCUGCUCACGGUGCUGUGCUCGAAGGCGAGGACGGGGCUGUGGACGCCGCGUGCAGCACUGCGUCGGGGUCGCGGGCACGUUAAAGGCGAGGCCGACACGGCGUCGCGGUGGCUCAGCUCGACGGGCAUCAGCAGGGCGAGGCCGGUGGUGGUGCGGGCGCGGACGUCGUGGGCUCCUGGUUACCGUGGCGAGGACGUGGACGCGGUCGAAGCUCGGCGCGGCGGGCGGCUCCGAUGCGGCAUGGGAUGGAGCUCCGGGUCAUGGCCGAGGCGAGGGCGAGGCGUGUCGCGGCCACGGCAUGCGGACGACGGCGUCGCGGGGUCGGGGCUCGGCGCGGCGAGGGCGCAGAGCUCCUGCUCGACGGCGAGGGUCGCGGGGCGAUGGGGCACGAGCACGGCGCCGGGGUCGUGGGUGCGGCUCGGCGGUGGUCGUCGUGGUUGGCAAGGUUGUGUGCGCGGGCGACCGGCGAGGCCGGCACGGCGCCGUCGCGGCUCUAGUGCGGCGGCUGCGGAUGAGGGACAGGGAAAGGAUGGCGGCGGCUAACCAUUUUAUAGUGCGAGUAGCUAGGGCUAGGGAGAGCUCCGGCAAUCCUCGGCGUCCGUGUCGAAGACGGGACACGCGGCGCG